CAGUAGCCGCGGUAAUACGUAGGUGGCAAGCGUUGUCCGGAAUUAUUGGGCGUAAAGCGUGCGCAGGCGGUUGUGUAAGACAGGUGUGAAAUCCCCGGGCUUAACCUGGGAACUGCGCUUGUGACUGCACAGCUAGAGUAUGGCAGAGGGGGGUGGAAUUCCACGUGUAGCAGUGAAAUGCGUAGAGAUGUGGAGGAACACCGAUGGCGAAGGCAGCCCCCUGGGCCAAUACUGACGCUCACGCACGAAAGCGUGGGGAGCAAACAGGAUUAGAUACCCGCGUAGUCCCUGUCUCUUAUAC
rnacentral:rRNA from 1 species